rnacentral:rRNA from 1 species
UUCCGGUUGAUCCUGCCGGACCUGACUGCUAUCGGAUUGGUACUAAGCCAUGUGAGUCAUUGUAGCAAUACAAGGCAGACGGCUCAGUAACACGUAGCCAACCUACCCUAUGGACGGGGAUAACCUCGGGAAACUGAGGAUAAACCCCGAUAGAUCAUAAUGCCUGGAACGGUUUAUGGUCCAAAUGAUUCGUCGCCGUAGGAUGGGACUGCGGCCUAUCAGCUUGUUGGUGAGGUAAUGGCCCACCAAGGCUAUUACAGGUACGGGCUCUGAGAGGAGAAGCCCGGAGAUGGGUACUGAGACACGGACCCAGGCCCUAUGGGGCGCAGCAGGCGAGAAACCUUUGCAAUGUGCGCAAGCACGACAAGGUUAAUCCGAGUGUUUCCUGCUAAAGGAAUCUUUUGUUAGUCCUAAAAACACUAGCGAAUAAGGGGUGGGCAAGUUCUGGUGUCAGCCGCCGCGGUAAAACCAGCACCUCAAGUGGUCAGGAGGAUUAUUGGGCCUAAAGCAUCCGUAGCCUGCUCUGUAAGUUUCCGGUUAAAUCCAUUAGCUCAACUGAUGGGCCGCCGGAAAAACUGCAGAGCUAGGGAGUGGGAGAGGUAGACGGUACUCGGUAGGAAGGGGUAAAAUCCUUUGAUCUAUUGAUGACCACCUGUGGCGAAGGCGGUCUACCAGAACACGUUCGACGGUGAGGGAUGAAAGCUGGGGGAGCAAACCGGAUUAGAUACCCGGGUAGUCCCAGCUGUAAACGAUGCAGACUCGGUGAUGCCCUGGCUUGCGGCCAGUGCAGUGCCGCAGGGAAGCCGUUAAGUUUGCCGCCUGGGAAGUACGUACGCAAGUAUGAAACUUAAAGGAAUUGGCGGGGGAGCACCACAAGGGGUGAAGCCUGCGGUUCAAUUGGAGUCAACGCCGGG